rnacentral:rRNA from 1 species
UACGUAGGGCGCAAGCGUUGUCCGGAUUCACUGGGUGUAAAGGGUGCGUAGGCGGGAGAGUAAGUCCGCGGUGAAAUCUCACGGCUCAACCGUGAAACUGCCGUUGAUACUGCUUUUCUUGAGUUCGGGAGAGGUUGAUGGAAUUCCAGGUGUAGCGGUGAAAUGCGUAGAUAUCUGGAAGAACACCAGUGGCGAAGGCGGUCAACUGGCCCGUAACUGGCGCUGAGGCACGAAAGCGUGGGGAGCGAACAGG